GUGGGGAAUAUUGGACAAUGGGCGCAAGCCUGAUCCAGCCAUGCAGCGUGUGUGAAGAAGGCCUUUUGGUUGUAAAGCACUUUAAGCGAGGAGGAGGCUCCUUUAGUUAAUACCUAAAGAGAGUGGACGUUACUCGCAGAAUAAGCACCGGCUAACUCUGUGCCAGCAGCCGCGGUAAUACAGAGGGUGCGAGCGUUAAUCGGAUUUACUGGGCGUAAAGCGUGCGUAGGCGGCUUUUUAAGUCGGAUGUGAAAUCCCUGAGCUUAACUUAGGAAUUGCAUUCGAUACUGGAAAGCUAGAGUAUGGGAGAGGAUGGUAGAAUUCCAGGUGUAGCGGUGAAAUGCGUAGAGAUCUGGAGGAAUACCGAUGGCGAAGGCAGCCAUCUGGCCUAAUACUGACACUGAGGUGCGAAAGCAUGGGGAGCAAACAGGAUUAGAAACCCGAGUAGUCC
rnacentral:rRNA from 1 species